rnacentral:rRNA from 1 species
AUUGAACGCUGGCGGCAUGCCUUACACAUGCAAGUCGAACGGCAGCACGGGUGCUUGCACCUGGUGGCGAGUGGCGAACGGGUGAGUAAUACAUCGGAACGUACCUUAUCGUGGGGGAUAACGCAGCGAAAGCUGUGCUAAUACCGCGUACGCCCUGAGGGGGAAAGCGGGGGAUCGCAAGACCUCGCGCGAUUAGAGCGGCCGAUGCCUGAUUAGCUAGUUGGUGGGGUAUAAGCCCACCAAGGCGACGAUCAGUAGCUGGUCUGAGAGGACGAUCAGCCCCACUGGGACUAAGACACGGCCCAAACUCCUACGGGAGGCAGCAGUGGGGAAUUUUGGACAAUGGGGGCAACCCUGAUCCAGCAAUGCCGCGUGAGUGAAGAAGGCCUUCGGGUUGUAAAGCUCUUUUGUCAGGGAAGAAACACCGGCUCUAACACAGUCCGGGAAUGACGGUACCUGAAGAAUAAGCACCGGCUAACUACGUGCCAGCCGCCGCCGUAA